UCCUGGCUCAGAUUGAACGCUGGCGGCAUGCCUUACACAUGCAAGUCGAACGGCAGCACGGGUGCUUGCACCUGGUGGCGAGUGGCGAACGGGUGAGUAAUACAUCGGAACAUGUCCUGUAGUGGGGGAUAGCCCGGCGAAAGCCGGAUUAAUACCGCAUACGAUCCACGGAUGAAAGCGGGGGACCUUCGGGCCUCGCGCUAUAGGGUUGGCCGAUGGCUGAUUAGCUAGUUGGUGGGGUAAAGGCCUACCAAGGCGACGAUCAGUAGCUGGUCUGAGAGGACGACCAGCCACACUGGGACUGAGACACGGCCCAGACUCCUACGGGAGGCAGCAGUGGGGAAUUUUGGACAAUGGGCGAAAGCCUGAUCCAGCAAUGCCGCGUGUGUGAAGAAGGCCUUCGGGUUGUAAAGCACUUUUGUCCGGAAAGAAAUCCCUGGCUCUAAUACAGUCGGGGGAUGACGGUACCGAAGAA
rnacentral:rRNA from 1 species